rnacentral:miRNA from 1 species
AUAUACAUACACACCCAUAUAC